ACCCGCACAAGCGGUGGAUGAUGUGGUUUAAUUCGAUGCAACGCGAAAACCUUACCCACCUUUGACAUGGCAGGAAUCCUGAAGAGAUUUGGGAGUGCUCGAAAGAGAACCUGCACACAGGUGCUGCAUGGCUGUCGUCAGCUCGUGUCGUGAGAUGUUGGGUUAAGUCCCGCAACGAGCGCAACCCUUGCCACUAGUUGCUACGAAAGGGCACUCUAAUGGGACUGCCGGUGACAAACCGGAGGAAGGUGGGGAUGACGUCAAGUCCUCAUGGCCCUUAUAGGUGGGGCUACACACGUCAUACAAUGGCCGGUACAGAGGGUAGCCAACCCGCGAGGGGGAGCCAAUCCCACAAAGCCGGUCGUAGUCCGGAUCGCAGUCUGCAACUCGACUGCGUGAAGUCGGAAUCGCUAGUAAUCGCGGAUCAGCAUGUCGCGGUGAAUACGUUCCCGGGUCUU
rnacentral:rRNA from 1 species